rnacentral:tRNA from 1 species
CAUUAGGAAGCUAAAAUAGAGGUAGCCUUGGCCUUUUAAGUCAAUGAGUGGGGGCUUCUAAUCCCCUCUAAUGU